rnacentral:rRNA from 1 species
UACGAAGGGGGGCUAGCGUUGCUCGGAAUCACUGGGCGUAAAGCGCACGUAGGCGGACUCUUAAGUCGGUGGUGAAAGCCUGGAGCUCAACUCCAGAACUGCCUUCGAUACUGAGAGUCUCGAGUCCGGGAGAGGUGAGUGGAACUGCGAGUGUAGAGGUGAAAUUCGUAGAUAUUCGCAAGAACACCAGUGGCGAAGGCGGGUCUCUGGGCCGAUACUGACGCUGAGGAGCGAAAAGCGUGGGGAGCGAACAGGGA